UAUGUGAUCGUCUCUCGCAUAUCAAUAAGCGGAGGAAAAGAAACUAACAAGGAUUCCCCUAGUAACGGCGAGUGAAGCGGGAAGAGCUCAAAUUUGAAAUCUUAAAGGGUUUCCCUUUACGAAUUGUAGUUUAAAGAAGUGUUUUCUGUUGAGGUUUUGGUAAAAGUUCUUUGGAAUAGGACAUCAUAGAGGGUGAGAAUCCCGUAUUUGACCUUUACUUUCAACUUUGUGAUACACUUUCAAAGAGUCGGAUUGUUUGGGAAUGCAGUCCAAAAUGGGUGGUAAAUUUCAUCUAAAGCUAAAUAUUGGCGAGAGACCGAUAGCGAACAAGUACCGUGAGGGAAAGAUGAAAAGAACUUUGAAAAGAGAGUUAAACAGUACGUGAAAUUGUCAAAAGGGAAGCGUUUGACACCAGUGUUGUUUUUCUGAAAAUCAAUUAAAGAACUGUUUAUGCUAAGUUGUUUAGACUUUAUCAGCUAACUGUUUAGUUUUGAGCUUUUCUUUAAUGCACUUUUCAGUUAACAAGUCAACAUCAAUUUCUUUUGCCUGUAAAAAAGCUUGAGGAAGGUGGCUUGAGAUUCGUCUUAAGUGUUUAUAGCCUCUUGCCUAUGCAGUCGGAGAGAUUGAGGUCUGCAGCGUAGAUCCUUCGGGGCUAAAUGCAUUUGUGCUAAGUUAUAGCAUUUUAUAGACAACUUGUUGACUAUGAUUUGUCUUGUAGCUUACUCGCUUAUGUUAUUUUACCUACGCUUAGGAUGUUGACACACGCGCGUGCUCGACUCUAUACAUGACUCUGUGCAUAUCAAUAAGCGGAGGAAAAGUCAACUACCUACGCUUAGGAUGUUGACACACGCGCGUGCUCGGCUCUAUACAUGACUCUGUGCAUAUCAAUAAGCGGAGGAAAAGGCUGCGGGACUGAACGACCGCUACCUACGCUUAGGAUGUUGAUCUCUCACAGCGAGC
rnacentral:rRNA from 1 species